UGAUAAUUGUUGACAGAAGAUAGAGAGCACUGAUGAUGAUAUGCUAAUUAAAUUUGUGCAGCAAAAGCAUCUCAAUUCAUUUGUGCUCUCUAUGCUUCUGUCAUCACCUUCAGCCA
rnacentral:pre_miRNA from 1 species